GAUGAACGCUGGCGGCGUGCUUAACACAUGCAAGUCGAACGGUGAAGCAGGAGCUUGCUCUUGUGGAUCAGUGGCGAACGGGUGAGUAACACGUGAGCAACCUGCCCCUGACUCUGGGAUAAGCGCUGGAAACGGCGUCUAAUACUGAAUAUGUGAUGUGACCGCAUGGUCUGCAUCUGGAAAGUAUUGCGAUUGGGGAUGGGCUCGCGGCCUAUGAGCUUGUUGGUGAGGUAAUGGCUCACCAAGGCGUCGGCGGGUAGCCGGCCUGAGAGGGGGACCGGCCAACCUGGGACUGAGACAAGGCCGAGACUCCGACGGGAGGCAGCAGUGGGGAAUAUUGCACAAGGGGCGGAAGCCUGAUGCAGCAACGCCGCGUGAGGGAUGACGGCCUUCGGGUUGUAAACCUCUUUUAGCAGGGAAGAAGCGAAAGUGACGGUACCUGCAGAAAAAGCACCGGCUAACUACGUGCCAGCCGCCGCGGUAA
rnacentral:rRNA from 1 species